UGUGCAGAUUAUUAUUAUGAUUAUUUAAGUGAUGAUUAUUCUUAUUUUGAUAACGCUGAUUUUUAUUAUCAUGUUUUUUUUUUUUGCUUAUUAUAAUUGUGCUGCUGAUCAUUAUUAAUAUUUAAAUAAUGAUUAUUCUUAUUUUGUUAACGCUGAUUCUUAUUAUCAUGUUUUUUUUUUGAUGCUUAUUAUGCUGCUGCUGAUCAUUAAUAUUAUUUAAGUUAUGAUUAUUCUUAUUCUGAUAACGCUGAUUAU